rnacentral:rRNA from 1 species
UACGUAGGGUGCGAGCGUUGUCCGGAAUUAUUGGGCGUAAAGGGCUCGUAGGCGGUUUGUCGCGUCGGGAGUGAAAACUCGGAGCUUAACUCCGAGCCUGCUUCCGAUACGGGCAGACUAGAGGUAGGCAGGGGAGAGCGGAACUCCUGGUGUAGCGGUGGAAUGCGCAGAUAUCAGGAAGAACACCGGUGGCGAAGGCGGCUCUGUGGGCCUUACCUGACGCUGAGGAGCGAAAGCGUGGGUAGCGAACAGG